AAAAUGAUAUAUAAGCUAUAAUAAGAUUUAAGACUAAUAUUGUAAUACACCGUAAAUAACUAUCAUUGUGUUUGCCAGUUAGUUGUUUCUAAAAAUACUGAUACUCCAGGCACGUGGAGUACUUUGACGGUUUCGUUGAGCAUUUUGCUCCUAGCUUCAUCAUAACUCGUAUUUAAUCGGAACAAUCAAGAUCACUCACUGUUCACUUCAAUUAUUUAAUAACAAUCAUUGACAUCAACGACUGUGCUUACAACCAUGUUUUUAAACAUUACAGAUCGCAUGAAGAUUAUGGAGUUUUUGAUACAAAAGUACAACAGAAAGAUCAUUUUCCACUUUGAGAAGAAUAAAAACAUACUUGAGAAAUACAAUGAGUCAGAAUCGACUGAAUAGAUUAGCUAUGCUUCAUAUCCACAGAGAAAUCGAUGUUCAAACUUCAGAAGUACUCUCAGUAUUGGGGGAAAAAGGACCAAGGCGUCUCAACUUUAUAAUUUAAAAGGUAUAACAUCACCGCUACGGCGCGACUUAAAAACGGAACAAAAAAAACAAAAUUAGUCAGUAAAAGAUUGUAAACAAGCUUUAAGAUUUCUGUACAUAUUUCAAAAUAAAGCCCCCCCUAAAAAAAAAAUCCUGGAUGCGCCCCUGGUCUGCAAUAGAUGCUGCAAAUGAAAUGAAUCAACUCCUAAAUAAUUUAAAUCUAAAACAAAAUGCAUGCUAUCUUUCCCACGCCACCCGUAAUAUAAUGGUAAAAUUACUUAAAACUGGUGCUAUCAAUGAAGAAAACCUAAAAGCUACAGCGGCUAUUUUUUACAAAACAAGCAAAGAAUAUUUGGAGCAGUGGUGUCAGUUCAACGAGGAAGUAAAAAUAUUUGAAUGGGCAAAUUUGAGGAAGGUUCCCUCGUGGGAGGAAGUACAAAAAGUGAUGGACUUACUUAUUAAACAGAAAUUUAUUAGUAGCAGUCAAGAUACAGGAGUUUUUGACGAGUUUUCACUAAUUUCUAAGUAUAUAACAGCUCAAAAAUAUGUGACUGGAACACCGGAAAUAUAGCUACUGAAAAUCGUUGGGUGGAAGUAUUUACAAUUAUAUGCAAAUGAUCUCGCACACGUGAAUUUUCUUAUAAUUGUAGAAUACAUUUUGUGUCUGCCAGGCAGUAACGCUCCAGUUGAAAGAGUGUUCUCUCAUAUGAAUAAAAUAUGGAGCAGUGAAAAAACUCAAUUGGGAGUCUCUGUAUUGAAAGCCAUUCUUAUAACAAAGGGUAACAUAAACAAAUUAUGUCAAGAGUUCCAUUCAUACAUAAAAACCAAACCGGCUACUUUAAAGCAGAUAUCUUGAUCCGAUAAAUAUAGAAAAC